UAUACGACCGUACCGCAAACCGACACUGGUGCGCGAGAUGAGUAUUCUAAGGCGCUUGAGAGAACUCAGGAGAAGGAACUCGGCAAAUUGACACCGUAACUUCGGAAGAAGGUGUGCCCUAUUAGUGUGUAGUGAACAACGAAGCAUGAAUGGGUUGCAAAAAAUCGGUGGCUGCGACUGUUUAUUAAAAACACAGCACUCUGCAAACACGAAAGUGGACGUAUAGGGUGUGACGCCUGCCCGGUGCUGGAAGAUUAAAUGAUGGGGUGCAAGCCCUUGAUUGAAGUCCCAGUAAACGGCGGCCGUAACAAUAACGGUCCUAAGGUAGCGAAAUUCCUUGUCGGGUAAGUUCCGACCUGCACGAAUGGCGUAACGAUGGCCACACUGUCUCCUCCUGAGACUCAGCGAAGUUGAAAUGUUUGUGAUGAUGCAAUCUCCCCGCGGAAAGACGGAAAGACCCCAUGAACCUUUACUGUAGCUUUGUAUUGGACUUUGAACAGAUCUGUGUAGGAUAGGUGGGAGGCUUUGAAGCAGGGUCGCUAGAUCUUGUGGAGCCAACGUUGAAAUACCACCCUGGUGUGUUUGAGGUUCUAACCUUGGUCCAUUAUCUGGAUCGGGGACAGUGCAUGGUAGGCAGUUUGACUGGGGCGGUCUCCUCCCAAAGCGUAACGGAGGAGUUCGAAGGUACGCUAGUUACGGUCGGACAUCGUGACGAUAGUGCAAUGGCAUAAGCGUGCUUAACUGCGAGACUGACAAGUCGAGCAGAUGCGAAAGCAGGACAUAGUGAUCCGGUGGUUCUGUAUGGAAGGGCCAUCGCUCAACGGAUAAAAGGUACUCUGGGGAUAACAGGCUGAUACCGCCCAAGAGUUCAUAUCGACGGCGGUGUUUGGCACCUCGAUGUCGGCUCAUCUCAUCCUGGGGCUGUAGCCGGUCCCAAGGGUAUGGCUGUUCGCCAUUUAAAGAGGUACGUGAGCUGGGUUUAAAACGUCGUGAGACAGUUUGGUCCCUAUCUUCCGUGGGCGCUGCAGAUUUGAGGAAGCCUGCUCCUAGUACGAGAGGACCGGAGUGGACACACCUCUGGUGUAUCGGUUGUCACGCCAGUGGCAUUGCCGAGUAGCUAAGUGUGGAAGAGAUAACCGCUGAAAGCAUCUAAGCGGGAAACUCGUUUCAAGAUGAGAUCUGCCGGGGCCUUGAGCCCCCUAAAGAGUCGUUCAAGACCAGGACGUUGAUAGGUCAGGUGUGGAAGCGAAAAAAAAAAA
rnacentral:rRNA from 1 species